rnacentral:rRNA from 1 species
CCUACGGGGUGCUGCAGUGGGGAAUAUUGGACAAUGGGGGCAACCCUGAUCCAGCCAUGCCGCGUGUGUGAAGAAGGCCCUCGGGUUGUAAAGCACUUUCAGUGAGGAAGAACGCCUGGUGGUUAAUACCCAUCAGGAAAGACAUCACUCACAGAAGAAGCACCGGCUAACUCCGUGCCAGCAGCCGCGGUAAUACGGAGGGUGCGAGCGUUAAUCGGAAUUACUGGGCGUAAAGCGCGCGUAGGUGGCUUGAUAAGCCGGUUGUGAAAGCCCCGGGCUCAACCUGGGAACGGCAUCCGGAACUGUCAAGCUAGAGUGCAGGAGAGGAAGGUAGAAUUCCCGGUGUAGCGGUGAAAUGCGUAGAGAUCGGGAGGAAUACCAGUGGCGAAGGCGGCCCUCUGGACUGACACUGACACUGAGGUGCGAAAGCGUGGGUAGCAAACAGGAUUAGAUACCCGAGUAGUC